rnacentral:piRNA from 1 species
UGUUGUCCUGAGAUCCAUCUUGUUU